rfam:Pseudoalteromonas citrea DSM 8771 strain NCIMB 1889 contig183, whole genome shotgun sequence.
CGCUUUAUCGAGUAAUCGCUAGAGUGAUUUAUCAGAAGUCAGCAGACGGCAUAGUAGCCAAACGCCCAUCGUAAUGGAGGGGACACGGUGAAGGCC